UUUAUGGAGAGUUUGAUCCUGGCUCAGGAUGAACGCUGGCGGCGUGCCUAAUACAUGCAAGUCGAGCGAACGGACGAGAAGCUUGCUUCUCUGAUGUUAGCGGCGGACGGGUGAGUAACACGUGGAUAACCUACCUAUAAGACUGGGAUAACUUCGGGAAACCGGAGCUAAUACCGGAUAAUAUUUUGAACCGCAUGGUUCAAAAGUGAAAGACGGUCUUGCUGUCACUUAUAGAUGGAUCCGCGCUGCAUUAGCUAGUUGGUAAGGUAACGGCUUACCAAGGCAACGAUGCAUAGCCGACCUGAGAGGGUGAUCGGCCACACUGGAACUGAGACACGGUCCAGACUCCUACGGGAGGCAGCAGUAGGGAAUCUUCCGCAAUGGGCGAAAGCCUGACGGAGCAACGCCGCGUGAGUGAUGAAGGUCUUCGGAUCGUAAAACUCUGUUAUUAGGGAAGAACAUAUGUGUAAGUAACUGUGCACAUCUUGACGGUACCUAAUCAGAAAGCCACGGCUAACUACGUGCCAGCAGCCGCGGUAAUACGUAGGUGGCAAGCGUUAUCCGGAAUUAUUGGGCGUAAAGCGCGCGUAGGCGGUUUUUUAAGUCUGAUGUGAAAGCCCACGGCUCAACCGUGGAGGGUCAUUGGAAACUGGAAAACUUGAGUGCAGAAGAGGAAAGUGGAAUUCCAUGUGUAGCGGUGAAAUGCGCAGAGAUAUGGAGGAACACCAGUGGCGAAGGCGACUUUCUGGUCUGUAACUGACGCUG
rnacentral:rRNA from 1 species